rnacentral:lncRNA from 1 species
UUAGAUUAUAGACUCAAUUUAUAUCCUAGUCUAGACAUGACUAAAUGAGCAUAAGGCCUAUUGAUUGUUUAGCCAUCUUCAAGCUUUGUUGAAACCUUGUCUUCAUCAAAACAUAGGCAAAGACAUGCUAGUGCUAAUCUUGACACUUUGCACUUUCAGAACCCAUCAGAUUACUCUUCUUGCAAGUUGAACAUUGUCUUAAGCAUCGGGGCACUUUUGAGUGUGAUAUCCUUGAACAUACGCUUUGCAUCCUUAUUGAAAAUUUUUUGGUGCUUUUCUUUUCUUCUUUCUCAACCUCCUUGCCUUUCCUU